CAUCUGUGCAGAAAACUCCUCUGCAGAGGUCAGACUAGAUCAUGUAGAUCCCUCUCCCUCAUUAUCUCGCAAGCAUUCUGGAGACACACGAGGGGUGGCUCACUGGUGACCUCACCGCCAUCCUUGCCUGAAGAACCAGUUUCACCUGUCCACCGCCUGCACUUGGAGCCUGCUAGAUUCCGGCUUUACAGAUAGAGUCUCAUGAUAGAGACCAGGCUGGCCUUGAACUCACAGAAACCCACCUUCCUCUGCUUCCCAAGAGCUGGGAUUGAAGAUGUAUAUCACCAUGCCUGUCUAUCUUAAGCAGCACAUUGACUACUAUAUUGAAAACGGAACCCAAAUGUUUGCAUGAGGGGGUUUUCUCAUCUCAUAAGGUUGAAAAAACCAGAAGCUGAACCAGUAUAAACCGGGCACCAUCUGCGCUCACAUAUGUCUGAAAUGGGCGAACACAGACUAACAGCGCAAGAAUAGGCAAUGUGCAGAUGAAGAAAAAUGGAGCUGGAGAGAACAAGUGAGGAGAAAGGCAAUAAAACUGAAAUAGGGUGGCCCGGCAGCUGACGGCAAAGGGUGGCACGCGAAGGUGGGAGGCUCCAGGUUGAGCACAGUUCCGAGAGGUCUACGCAGAGUCAUUUAGUCCUAUGAGGUAUGAACUAUGGCAUAUCCCUCUAUUCUAAGAAGAAGAGGAGGAGGAAAUCGAGGCACAGCACAACUACACAACUUCUCAAAGACAAAGUAGUGAGUGGUUGUGAGACUUGGAGCACUUUCCCACUGAGAGUUCCUGUGUGUGCUCAGCUCUGCCUGAGAGGCUUCCCACCCACACUCCUGUCCCCUAGGAAACAGAUCUCUUCCUUCACCUCCUAAUAUGGACGUCAUUUCCCCAGAAAGUCGUUGCUGUUGCACCGGAUCAGAUAGAGCCUAGCGGCAAACCCACUCUUCCUGGAGCCCACCUUUCCCCUUUGUAGCUCUGGAAAGGUAAAAUUAGAGGGCAGCCCCUUGUGUGAAGUCUGUCUGCUACAGACGAGUAAGCUGCUUGCAGACAAGGCUCUUUCCAGGCUUCUGUUCCCAGCACCUCACGUGACACAUGGCCCUCAGUUACUAUUUCAUGACUCAGUUAUCCAAAAAGCUCUGCAAUAAAGAACCCUAA